rnacentral:rRNA from 1 species
GCGUUGUUCGGAAUUACUGGGCGUAAAGCGCGCGCAGGCGGCUAUCCAAGUCAGUGGUGAAAGCCCGGAGCUCAACUCCGGAACUGCCAUUGAAACUGUUUAGCUUGAGGAUGAGAGAGGUGAGUGGAAUUCCCAGUGUAGAGGUGAAAUUCGUAGAUAUUGGGAAGAACACCGGUGGCGAAGGCGGCUCACUGGCGCAUUACUGACGCUCAGGCGCGAUAGCGUGGGGAUCAAACAGG